rnacentral:rRNA from 1 species
GAUGAACGCUGGCGGCGUGCCUAAUACAUGCAAGUCGAGCGAACAGACGAGGAGCUUGCUCCUCUGACGUUAGCGGCGGACGGGUGAGUAACACGUGGAUAACCUACCUAUAAGACUGGGAUAACUUCGGGAAACCGGAGCUAAUACCGGAUAAUAUAUUGAACCGCAUGGUUCAAUGGUGAAGGACGGUUUUGCUGUCACUUAUAGAUGGAUCCGCGCCGCAUUAGCUAGUUGGUAAGGUAACGGCUUACCAAGGCAACGAUGCGUAGCCGACCUGAGAGGGUGAUCGGCCACACUGGAACUGAGACACGGUCCAGACUCCUACGGGAGGCAGCAGUAGGGAAUCUUCCGCAAUGGGCGAAAGCCUGACGGAGCAACGCCGCGUGAGUGAUGAAGGUCUUCGGAUCGUAAAACUCUGUUAUUAGGGAAGAACAAAUGUGUAAGUAACUAUGCACGUCUUGACGGUACCUAAUCAGAAAGCCACGGCUAACUACGUG